GCUCUCCGGAGCUUAGAAAAGAGAAAAACUGCACGUACACGCACGCCACUCACUCCAGAAGAAACCACAGACAUACUGUAAAAAGAGGAAGCUAGAGAGGAAGAGGAGGAGGAGGAGGAAGGAUUUACACGCAGGUUCAGAGAGUCGGGAUCUCAGCCGGUCAGCAGGAAGCAGAAGAGGCUGCGGGGCUUUCCAGGGCGUUGUCGCUGGCAGAG